GGUGGUGUGGUGUAAUGGUAGCACGUAACGUUGUGGCUCUUCCUCAUUGGAUAUACACGAUAGAUUCCGUUUCAAUCUGGGUUCGAUUCCCAGCACCGCCA
rnacentral:tRNA from 1 species